rnacentral:tRNA from 1 species
UCCCAUAUUGUCUAGGGGUUAGGAUACCUGGCUCUCACCCAGGAGGCUCGGGUUCAAUUGCCGGAAUGGGAA